GUUAGUUUCGAUCCCGUCUUGGGGGAGCGGCACAGCAGUGGGAGGAAGCAGAAGGGCCGCGGGGGCGCAGUCCUCCUCCGUCGACGAUGAUCGUCUUCGACUCCUCCGCCUUCAUGGUCUGCCGUGCCGUCAUUCUUUCCGCAUGGGAUCCUCGUUCGCCCUCUAUUCCUGUCGGCCUCCCCACGAAGAAGCCGCUCAAGUGUUCGACCGGAGUCCUUCCGACCACCACCGAUCCCGGUAAGAACUGAGUCGUCGGUGAGGGGUUUAUCUGCAAACAGUUCGCCAUUUCCAGGAUAGAGAUAGAAUCGAGGCCGCUACCGAAGCCGGUGUUAGAGCAGAAGUUAGAGGCCGCAGGGAAUCUGAUGUUAAUGUAGGGAAUCUGAUGAGAUGGAUAUUGGUCUCUACGCGAACGGAGCUGCAAAGUGCGAGUGAGACGGAAUUCUGAAGACUUCUCGUGCAAUUCCCUUUCUGAAACCUAUCAACCAUGAGCAUUAAUACGGAAGGGAUUCUACUAGUGUGACAGUAGUCUGCUUAUGCGCCUUCUGUAUCUCAAUCACUAAUUUUACCUAGUCUUCUUCCCUUUCCUCUCUUGAACUCUCACUAAGAUAACAAUUGGAAUUAAACUGGAAUGCAUCAGUAACCCAUUUGUCAUCCUUUUAUGUUUUUAAAUACUCAUUAAUUCACAACUGAUCUGAUCCUUCCUCUAUGAAGCAUUUUUAUGAUUACAUUUGGAGUCACAGCAGAAUGCAUAAAAAAUCUUUUCAUGCAAUCAAUCAACCGUUAUUCCUCUCUCUCGGACAUCAUAAUAACAUUUGGAAUUAUGUGGUAUAUUGAACACUCAUUUAACUCCCAAUUAAUGUUUCUUCCUCCUCUCUUGACUCAUGGUGGUAACAUUUGGAAUUACAUCGAUCACUUCUUUUCUUUAGUUUCAUUUUCAUAAGAAAAUAAUUUAUGUAGCAUACCAGAUUGUUCUUUCUUAAAAAAAAUCUGAUGGUUCUUCCUUUCUUCAGCUUUGGUGCAAGGUUGCUUGGUUCUUUGGUGUCGAGGACACAUGCUAGGCAAUACCAUUAAUCCAGUUGCAAAUGGUGCAUCCAUUUAAGUUGAUUGGUAUCAUUUUCAUAGU